CGGCGGGCGGGGGGCAGCGGCGGCAGCAGCAGCAGCAGCGGGGGCCGCCACACCACGGCGGAGCCACGUCGGGGCGGGACGCCGCGGCGGCGGCGAAAAUCCCGGCGCUGCCCGGCUGCAGCGGGGGGCUGCAGUGGCCCUAGGGCUGGCAGGGGCAGCUCCGUACUCUCUCCUGCCACCGUGCGUGCGUGUCUGCGAGCGGCCGGCUCUCCUCCUGGCUCCUGCUGCUGAGUCCAGACCAACUUUCUCGCCCCCUCGCUCUGAGACGCGAGAGGUGCCUGUCGGUUGCUUUUAUACUGCCCUGCCUCCCUCCCCUGCUGUCCUCCCCCCUUCCCGCUCCCUCCCUUUUCCCUUCUCCCUCUCCGCAGCUUCUCCUGCAGCCCAGCAUCGACCCCCCCGCCCCGUUCCCCUCCUCCUUGUGCCACUUGCCCCUCUGCCAGCCCUGCUUUGUGGGACACCCUGCCCACCCGCACCCCAUCCCGCUGGCGGCUGCACCUUGCGGAGUGACUUCCAGCGCUGCUCGGUGGGGACAGAGCUGUCCUGGUGUCAUGUCACCUUCAGCUGGUCCAUGCAUCCUCCUCAGGCCACGGGGAUUUUACACUCCUCGCUGUUGUUUCCCUUCCUCUGAGUUGCUGACUGCGUAACUACAUUGGAAAAAGCUUUCUCUCUUGGAUGAGAGGCCUCCAAAUUUAAAAUUAAUGUGAAUUUGACAAUACGUGAAAAUGAGGGUUGGAUUAUUGCUUGCUGUAAAUCAGUAUCUUUGCAUCCAGUCUGACGGAGCCAAACGUCUUUCUGAGUGCUGAAGAUGAAGCUCGAUGUAAUGAGAACAAACAUAGCUCAAAUAAGCUUGAAACAUGAAUAAAGUCACCUAACAACAAA